GUCUGUUCGCAGAGCAAGAAGGAUACCAUGCAAGGUGAUCCUGUGAAAGGUCUGACUGCAGGAGUAGACACUGCACAGCUGGGAGACUUCCUGCAUGGAGCCUGUGAAUUUGUGGGAAAGAGAUAUUCAAUACCAGUGUAUUCAUGAACAAUGAAGAAAAUGACAGAUCUGUGUUCUGAGGACAUAACAUACACCUUGUCCACAUUUCAUUUGGAUCCUUUCAAACAACUGCCA
rnacentral:lncRNA from 1 species